GGGUUGUGAGGUUAAGCGACUAAGCGUACACGGUGGAUGCCCUGGCAGUCAGAGGCGAUGAAGGACGUGCUAAUCUGCGAUAAGCGUCGGUAAGGUGAUAUGAACCGUUAUAACCGGCGAUUUCCGAAUGGGGAAACCCAGUGUGAUUCGUCACACUAUCAUUAACUGAAUCCAUAGGUUAAUGAGGCGAACCGGGGGAACUGAAACAUCUAAGUACCCCGAGGAAAAGAAAUCAACCGAGAUUCCCCCAGUAGCGGCGAGCGAACGGGGAGGAGCCCAGAGCCUGAAUCAGUGUGUGUGUUAGUGGAAGCGUCUGGAAAGGCGCGCGAUACAGGGUGACAGCCCCGUACACAAAAAUGCACAUGCUGUGAGCUCGAUGAGUAGGGCGGGACACGUGGUAUCCUGUCUGAAUAUGGGGGGACCAUCCUCCAAGGCUAAAUACUCCUGACUGACCGAUAGUGAACCAGUACCGUGAGGGAAAGGCGAAAAGAACCCCGGCGAGGGGAGUGAAAAAGAACCUGAAACCGUGUACGUACAAGCAGUGGGAGCACGCUUAGGCGUGUGACUGCGUACCUUUUGUAUAAUGGGUCAGCGACUUAUAUUCUGUAGCAAGGUUAACCGAAUAGGGGAGCCGAAGGGAAACCGAGUCUUAACUGGGCGUUAAGUUGCAGGGUAUAGACCCGAAACCCGGUGAUCUAGCCAUGGGCAGGUUGAAGGUUGGGUAACACUAACUGGAGGACCGAACCGACUAAUGUUGAAAAAUUAGCGGAUGACUUGUGGCUGGGGGUGAAAGGCCAAUCAAACCGGGAGAUAGCUGGUUCUCCCCGAAAGCUAUUUAGGUAGCGCCUCGUGAAUUCAUCUCCGGGGGUAGAGCACUGUUUCGGCAAGGGGGUCAUCCCGACUUACCAACCCGAUGCAAACUGCGAAUACCGGAGAAUGUUAUCACGGGAGACACACGGCGGGUGCUAACGUCCGUCGUGAAGAGGGAAACAACCCAGACCGCCAGCUAAGGUCCCAAAGUCAUGGUUAAGUGGGAAACGAUGUGGGAAGGCCCAGACAGCCAGGAUGUUGGCUUAGAAGCAGCCAUCAUUUAAAGAAAGCGUAAUAGCUCACUGGUCGAGUCGGCCUGCGCGGAAGAUGUAACGGGGCUAAACCAUGCACCGAAGCUGCGGCAGCGACGCUGAUGCGUUGUUGGGUAGGGGAGCGUUCUGUAAGCCUGCGAAGGUGUGCUGUGAGGCAUGCUGGAGGUAUCAGAAGUGCGAAUGCUGACAUAAGUAACGAUAAAGCGGGUGAAAAGCCCGCUCGCCGGAAGACCAAGGGUUCCUGUCCAACGUUAAUCGGGGCAGGGUGAGUCGACCCCUAAGGCGAGGCCGAAAGGCGUAGUCGAUGGGAAACAGGUUAAUAUUCCUGUACUUGGUGUUACUGCGAAGGGGGGACGGAGAAGGCUAUGUUGGCCGGGCGACGGUUGUCCCGGUUUAAGCGUGUAGGCUGGUUUUCCAGGCAAAUCCGGAAAAUCAAGGCUGAGGCGUGAUGACGAGGCACUACGGUGCUGAAGCAACAAAUGCCCUGCUUCCAGGAAAAGCCUCUAAGCAUCAGGUAACAUCAAAUCGUACCCCAAACCGACACAGGUGGUCAGGUAGAGAAUACCAAGGCGCUUGAGAGAACUCGGGUGAAGGAACUAGGCAAAAUGGUGCCGUAACUUCGGGAGAAGGCACGCUGAUAUGUAGGUGAAGUCCCUCGCGGAUGGAGCUGAAAUCAGUCGAAGAUACCAGCUGGCUGCAACUGUUUAUUAAAAACACAGCACUGUGCAAACACGAAAGUGGACGUAUACGGUGUGACGCCUGCCCGGUGCCGGAAGGUUAAUUGAUGGGGUCAGCGCAAGCGAAGCUCUUGAUCGAAGCCCCGGUAAACGGCGGCCGUAACUAUAACGGUCCUAAGGUAGCGAAAUUCCUUGUCGGGUAAGUUCCGACCUGCACGAAUGGCGUAAUGAUGGCCAGGCUGUCUCCACCCGAGACUCAGUGAAAUUGAACUCGCUGUGAAGAUGCAGUGUACCCGCGGCAAGACGGAAAGACCCCGUGAACCUUUACUAUAGCUUGACACUGAACAUUGAGCCUUGAUGUGUAGGAUAGGUGGGAGGCUUUGAAGUGUGGACGCCAGUCUGCAUGGAGCCGACCUUGAAAUACCACCCUUUAAUGUUUGAUGUUCUAACGUUGACCCGUGAUCCGGGUUGCGGACAGUGUCUGGUGGGUAGUUUGACUGGGGCGGUCUCCUCCUAAAGAGUAACGGAGGAGCACGAAGGUUGGCUAAUCCUGGUCGGACAUCAGGAGGUUAGUGCAAUGGCAUAAGCCAGCUUGACUGCGAGCGUGACGGCGCGAGCAGGUGCGAAAGCAGGUCAUAGUGAUCCGGUGGUUCUGAAUGGAAGGGCCAUCGCUCAACGGAUAAAAGGUACUCCGGGGAUAACAGGCUGAUACCGCCCAAGAGUUCAUAUCGACGGCGGUGUUUGGCACCUCGAUGUCGGCUCAUCACAUCCUGGGGCUGAAGUAGGUCCCAAGGGUAUGGCUGUUCGCCAUUUAAAGUGGUACGCGAGCUGGGUUUAGAACGUCGUGAGACAGUUCGGUCCCUAUCUGCCGUGGGCGCUGGAGAACUGAGGGGGGCUGCUCCUAGUACGAGAGGACCGGAGUGGACGCAUCACUGGUGUUCGGGUUGUCAUGCCAAUGGCACUGCCCGGUAGCUAAAUGCGGAAGAGAUAAGUGCUGAAAGCAUCUAAGCACGAAACUUGCCCCGAGAUGAGUUCUCCCUGACUCCUUGAGAGUCCUGAAGGAACGUUGAAGACGACGACGUUGAUAGGCCGGAUGUGUAAGCGCAGCGAUGCGUUGAGCUAACCGGUACUAAUGAACCGUGAGGCUUAACCUUACAACGCCGAAGGUGUUU
rnacentral:rRNA from 1 species